ensembl:lncRNA
CUUAGCAAUGACACAGCUCGGCCCCGGGGCCUCAUUGCUGAUAACGGGAACCGUGGCAACACAAAGCAUCCUGCAGUUUGUCGCUUAGAAUCCGUGGGUUCACAUGUGAGUGACUUCAGGACCGAUCUCUGCUUCACACAGAUGGUCCUUUCUAAUUACACGCGUUCUGCCCAGAAGUCAGCGCGGCCGCUCGCUUUCCACCGUCUCACGAGUCUUCGUCUUCGUCUUCUUCUUCUUCUUCUUCGUCUUCUUCUUCUUCCGCCCUGCAGCUACACCAGACGUCUCCUGUUCUCCACGGAGUUUACAGCUGAUGAACUCAUCAAAGCUCUGCUCCAAACCAAAAGUAAUAAUAUCUGGGAUAUGCGUAUAAAUACGUUUCUUUCGUCCAAUCCUUGCACAUGUUUUCUUUUCAACGCUCCAGCUUAUCUUUUUAACGUUUAGCAACAGCAGAGAAUGAGUGUUGCUUCCGGAAAGACCACUUAUAUCAAUUCAGAGUCCGAGCUCAAACAGCAGGGAGUUGACGGUUGUUUUGUUUAUUAUUUCGUAUAUCUGAAUUCAUGGAAAGGAUGUAAAAAAAACAACUAGAUUGAUGUCCAAUAGUACAUACAUCUUUUGAAUUUAGGCCAAGAUGCAACACCUGCGUUACAGAGUCAAUAAGUCCGUCCCAACAUCCCUGAUCUCAAAUCCCAUGAGGCCAAAACGUGUCGGAGUGAAAACACACACCUGCUUCUUCCUCAUUUCCAGUAUUGACAUCCAUAGCAGACCAGUGCCGGCGAAGGAACUCGAAACCCCCUUGAGAUCAUGUGCUGGGAGGUUUCAAUGUCAAAUAUUAUUUGUGUUUACUGAGCUUAAAACCAAUUGUUAGGCAGGCUUUAUGUGUUUAUAUAAAAUACUGAUAGGAACGGAAAUUGCACGAUAACAAAAAAAAACAACAACUAUGAGACCUGGACAGCUCAAAGUCACAAUACCAAAGAGACGGACUCACAUCCCGACCUAAACAACAACAAAAGGUUGCGUCAAACCAGGAUAAAGGAUUGUAAGUCAAAAUACAAGAAAACCCAGAAAGUUCAAGACCAUCUCCAGACUGAAGCAGACUUGAGUACUGCAGAUGGGUUAUGAAGUCAAAAGAGUUUGUAUAUCGUUGUAGCUAAAAGAGCAUUUGACCAGUAAUCCAUAAUUAUCAAUAGCACCAAUAAUCC